rnacentral:rRNA from 1 species
UACGUAGGGUCCGAGCGUUGUCCGGAAUUACUGGGCGUAAAGAGCUCGUAGGUGGUUUGUCGCGUUGUCCGUGAAAACUCACAGCUCAACUGUGGGCGUGCGGGCGAUACGGGCAGACUGGAGUACUGCAGGGGGAGACUGGAAUUCCUGGUGUAGCGGUGGAAUGCGCAGAUAUCAGGAGGAACACCCGGUGGCGAAGGCGGCUCUCUGGAACAAUCCUGACGCUGAGGUGCGAAAGCUAGGGGGAGCAAAACGGGG